rnacentral:rRNA from 1 species
GAUGAACGCUGGCGGCGUGCUUAACACAUGCAAGUCGAACGGUGAAGGCGGAGCUUGCUCUGCUGGAUCAGUGGCGAACGGGUGAGUAACACGUGAGCAAUCUGCCCCUGACUCUGGGAUAAGCGCUGGAAACGGCGUCUAAUACUGGAUACGAGCUGCGAAGGCAUCUUCAGCAGCUGGAAAGAAUUUCGGUCAGGGAUGAGCUCGCGGCCUAUCAGCUUGUUGGUGAGGUAAUGGCUCACCAAGGCGUCGACGGGUAGCCGGCCUGAGAGGGUGACCGGCCACACUGGGACUGAGACACGGCCCAGACUCCUACGGGAGGCAGCAGUGGGGAAUAUUGCACAAUGGGCGAAAGCCUGAUGCAGCAACGCCGCGUGAGGGACGACGGCCUUCGGGUUGUAAACCUCUUCUAGCAGGGAAGAAGCGAAAGUGACGGUACCUGCAGAAAAAGCGCCGGCUAACUACGUG